AGGAACGACUGCGAAAAAUGCAGCACAAGGUCCUCUGGUAGGAAUUGAACCUACGGCCCUUGUGCUGCAUUGUUCGCAGUCGUUCCU